UUAUGUUGAAUAUUUUUCCUUGUAUCCCUUUGAUUCAUUAAAGAUGGAUAUGCAAUAUAAUCACAACAAAUUCUCUCUAUGUUGCACUACCUUGGAGACCAGACUACUAAGGAUGUCACUGUGUAUUCUGAUUGGCCUGGAUCUUGCAGAGAUCCAACCUGCCUCUGCCUAUGAAUGAGACUAAAGACAAACCCAUUACCACAUGUAAGAAUGUCUGGUUUUUUUUUCCACGUUCCAGAAUUUGGAUCCCAUCAGAAAAUCUCCAGGUAACGGUUACCUCAUUCCAUGGACCAAGAUAUUGACUGUCAUUCAACUUAUUUUGCUACAAACAAUUCAUCAGUGAUGCCAUGGGGAUAUAUUGAGAGUUUGUCUCCCAUUGAAUAGAUUUUUUUCUAACACAGCAUUGAGUUUGAGCU